rnacentral:rRNA from 1 species
AGAGUUUGAUCCUGGCUCAGGACGAACGCUGGCGGUGUGCUUAACACAUGCAAGUCGAACGAUGAAGCGGUGCUUGCACCGUGGAUUAGUGGCGAACGGGUGAGUAAUACGUGAGUGACCUACCUUUGACUCUGGGAUAAGCCUGGGAAACUGGGUCUAAUACCGGAUACGACCAAUCUCUGCAUGGGGUGUUGGUGGAAAGCGUUAUGGAGUGGUUUUAGAUGGGCUCACGGCCUAUCAGCUUGUUGGUGAGGUAAUGGCUUACCAAGGCGACGACGGGUAGCCGGCCUGAGAGGGUGACCGGCCACACUGGGACUGAGACACGGCCCAGACUCCUACGGGAGGCAGCAGUGGGGAAUAUUGCACAAUGGGCGCAAGCCUGAUGCAGCGACGCCGCGUGAGGGAUGACGGCCUUCGGGUUGUAAACCUCUGUUAGCAUCGAAGAAGCGAAAGUGACGGUAGGUGCAGAGAAAGCGCCGGCUAACUACGUGCCAGCAGCCGCGGUAAUACGUAGGGCGCGAGCGUUGUCCGGAAUUAUUGGGCGUAAAGAGCUUGUAGGCGGUUGGUCGCGUCUGCUGUGAAAGGCCGGGGCUUAACUCCGGUUUUGCAGUGGGUACGGGCUAACUAGAGUGCAGUAGGGGAGACUGGAAUUCCUGGUGUAGCGGUGGAAUGCACAGAUAUCAGGAGGAACACCGAUGGCGAAGGCAGGUCUCUGGGCUGUAACUGACGCUGAGAAGCGAAAGCAUGGGGAGCGAACAGGAUUAGAUACCCUGGUAGUCCAUGCCGUAAACGUUGGGCACUAGGUGUGGGGGGACAUUCCACGUUUUCCGCGCCGUAGCUAACGCAUUAAGUGCCCCGCCUGGGGAGUACGGCCGCAAGGCUAAAACUCAAAGGAAUUGACGGGGGCCCGCACAAGCGGCGGAGCAUGCGGAUUAAUUCGAUGCAACGCGAAGAACCUUACCAAGGCUUGACAUGCAUUAGAUCGCGUCAGAGAUGGCGUUUCCCUUCGGGGCUGGUGUACAGGUGGUGCAUGGUUGUCGUCAGCUCGUGUCGUGAGAUGUUGGGUUAAGUCCCGCAACGAGCGCAACCCUCGUUCUAUGUUGCCAGCGGUUCGGCCGGGGACUCAUAGGAGACUGCCGGGGUUAACUCGGAGGAAGGUGGGGAUGACGUCAAAUCAUCAUGCCCCUUAUGUCUUGGGCUUCACGCAUGCUACAAUGGCCGGUACAGAGGGUUGCGAUACUGUGAGGUGGAGCUAAUCCCUUAAAGCCGGUCUCAGUUCGGAUUGGGGUCUGCAACUCGACCCCAUGAAGUCGGAGUCGCUAGUAAUCGCAGAUCAGCAACGCUGCGGUGAAUACGUUCCCGGGCCUUGUACACACCGCCCGUCAAGUCACGAAAGUUGGUAACACCCGAAGCCGGUGGCCUAACCCUUGUGGGGGGAGCCGUCGAAGGUGGGACUGGCGAUUGGGACUAAGUCGUAACAAGGUAAC